ensembl:snRNA U6 U6 spliceosomal RNA
GGUGUUGGGGGAGCCUCAAAGUUAAAUUGGAACGACAGAGAAGAUUAGCAUGGCCCCUGCGCAAGGAUGACACGCAAAUUAGUCUUAUAGCUGAGAUGAAG